rnacentral:rRNA from 1 species
UACGUAGGGGGCAAGCGUUGUCCGGAUUUAUUGGGCGUAAAGAGCGUGUAGGCGGCCAUUCAGGUCAGCUGUGAAAACUCGAGGCUCAACCUCGAGACGUCGGUUGAAACCGUUUGGCUAGAGUCCGGAAGAGGAGAGUGGAAUUCCCGGUGUAGCGGUGAAAUGCGCAGAUAUCGGGAAGAACACCCGUGGCGAAGGCGGCUCUCUGGGACGGUACUGACGCUGAGACGGCGAAAGCGUGGGGAGCGAACAGG